rnacentral:rRNA from 3 species
UGUGACCUCAAAUCAGGUAGGACUACCCGCUGAACUUAAGCAUAUCAAUAAGCGGAGGAAAAGAAACUAACAAGGAUUCCCCUAGUAACUGCGAGUGAAGCGGGAAAAGCUCAAAUUUAAAAUCUGGCGGUCUUAUGGCUGUCCGAGUUGUAAUCUAGAGAAGUGUUAUCCGCGCUGGACCGUGUACAAGUCUCCUGGAAUGGAGCAUCAUAGAGGGUGAGAAUCCCGUCUUUGACAUGGACUGCCAGGGCUUUGUGAUGCGCUCUCAAAGAGUCGAGUUGUUUGGGAAUGCAGCUCAAAAUGGGUGGUAAAUUCCAUCUAAAGCUAAAUAUUGGCGAGAGACCGAUAGCGAACAAGUACCGUGAGGGAAAGAUGAAAAGAACUUUGGAAAGAGAGUUAAACAGUACGUGAAAUUGCUGAAAGGGAAACGCUUGAAGUCAGUCGCGUCAUCCAGGGAUCAACCUUGCUUUUGCUUGGUGCACUUCCUGGUUUGAUGGGUCAGCAUCAAUUUUGACUAUUGGAAAAAGGCUGAGGGAAUGUGGCAUCUUCGGAUGUGUUAUAGCCCUUGGUCGCAUACAAUGGUUGGGAUUGAGGAACUCAGCACGCCGCAAGGCCGGG